rnacentral:lncRNA from 1 species
UGCCCCUGAGUGGCAGCGGUUGGAGAAAUGAGAGUAGAACUCAUCCAUUCAGGUUUCUGAAGUGCCGGCAAUGUGUGAUCUGGACAGUGGUAGUUCAGUUUUAAACCACUUGUUCCUUUUUUUUUUUUUUUUUUUAGGAUCUAUAGUUCUGUUAACUGAUUAAUAGUAAUAUAUAUAUUACACACUUUGAACUGAUGGAAGCAGAACUGUAGAUCCUGUUUGAGUUGGGCAGUUCUGUUCGAGCCCAUGUUAAGAAAUACUCAAGUUCCCACCUUAUUCUUUUUUAGUUACAAGUCAAAUGCAGCACUUUUAUUAACUUAUAACAUGCUGUGGUUUUUCCAGACGUAUUGCACACCUUCUCUCCCUGGACCAUGGAGGACACUUUGUGGAAAUGAUGUUCCGGUCUGAUAUGUUAUAGCAUGAGCUAAAAUUUUACAUUUGUUUACCAUCCUUUAAUGAAUAUAUUUCUUCACAUCCCUAGGGUUUGGCAAAGCAAGGGUGCUCAAAUAACUGUGGCAUCUUUGUUCUAAUGUACACGCUGUACAUUGUCAUGGGGGCCAAAUGUGACUUCACGGAGGAAAACAUGCCACAAAUAAGAAGAUGGUGGUGUCUUCUUCUUAUAACCAACUUUCCAAUGCCGUAAAUGAUUUUAUGAUCUGACUUUUGAUAUACUUUUUUUUAAUACACGUUUCACUGAAACCCUGUGAUUAACUUAUUAGAGCAUUAAUUAUGAAUCUCCAUUGUCAUUAAAUCACCAAGGUCUGAAGAAGCCAGAAUGCUGACCAGAAAAAGGCGUCGGGACGAGCAGAAACUGCAGGUAAGAGAAGGUUACGAAAUGUAUUAGGUGUGUAUUUAGGCACUUAUUUGAUGACUAUUGUUAAUCCUUCUGCUAAUUUCAGGGUGUAGAGGAUGCUUCCCUGGAGAAGAUGUGUUCCGAAUCCAUCUCAUCCGAGGAAGGAGACCUGGAGACCAGCGGCGUGAUGGGAAAGAAUGAACAAGAAGUUUUGCUUCACGACACCAUGAAGGCGGCCAAAUGGUGCAGAACUCAGUCAUUCAAAGGAAGACAUUCCCUCCCAGAUGUUGUGAAGAUGGACAAAAGAGAACAAAAGGAAACUCUCAAAGAACUCCAGCAGUGUGACGAUGAAGACAGAGUCAUGGAGUUGAGGGAGCCGUUUAUGUUCUCUUUUCAGUUGAAGAGUGACUUUGAAGCAUUUUGUACUGAAAUUAUGGAUGUGAAAAAACUCAAAGUUUAUGUCUGUUUUGAGGAGUAAUAAAUCUUAGUUGUUCCC